CUGUCAUAUUCUGUGGGUUGAAACAGUCAAGAGGCUACCCAGACUUAAGAGGAAGGCAUUUUAGAUACAACUCAUUCCAGUUGGGCUUUGAUCAAGCUAUCAAGGGUCUAUUAAUACAAUUCCCAGAAACUUCAAGUACACCCUGGAACUGAAUUUUGAAGUUGGACUAUCCCAGAUAUUUCAAGUGCAUACACCCUGAAGUAUAAACGAAAGAAUGGAGGCUCCAAUGUAAUGGAGGAAUUACAUUUUUUAAAGUUUCAAUCUGCAAUACCUCAAUCUUUCUACCAAGACCUUGAUCUCUGAUGUGGAACUUCGUCAAAUGCUGUCUGAAAAUGUAAGAGCACACUCUUCACUGCAUGGAGACAAAGCCAGAAUCUUCCUUGAAAGGCAGGAGGGUGCUGAAUGAAUAAACAUUGGCAUUUUG